CAGCCGCGCUAAUUCCAGCUCCAAUAGCGUAUAUUAAAGUUGUUGCGGUUAAAAAGCUCGUAGUUGGAUCUCAGUUUGCGACGCGGCGGUCCGACGCGAGUCGGCCACUGCCGCGGCGCGACCGGCCGCCGGUUUCCGCGGAUGAUCUUCACCGGUUGUCCGCGGUGACCGGCAAGUUUACUUUGAAAAAAUUAGAGUGCUCAAAGCAGGCUUUUAUCGCCUGAAUAAUGGUGCAUGGAAUAAUGGAAUAGGACCUCGGUCUUAUUUUGUUGGUUUUUCUAGACACGAGGUAAUGAUUAAGAGGGACAGACGGGGGCAUUCGUAUUGCGACGCUAGAGGUGAAAUUCUUGGACCGCCGCACGACGAACUACUGCGAAAGCAUUUGCCA
rnacentral:rRNA from 1 species